rnacentral:rRNA from 1 species
UGCCAGCCGCCGCGGUAAUACGGAGGGUGCAAGCGUUGUUCGGAAUCACUGGGCGCAAAGCGUCCGCAGGCGGUUUAUCAGGUCGGGUGUGAAAGCCCGGGGCUCAACCCCGGAACUGCAUUCGAAACCGAUAGACUUGAGUACGGGAGAGGAGGGCGGAAUUCCUGGUGUAGAGGUGAAAUUCGUAGAUAUCAGGAGGAACGCUCGCGGCGAAGGCGGCUCUCUGGCCCGAUACUGACGCUCAUGGACGAAAGCGUGGGGAGCAAACAGGAUUAGAUA